rnacentral:tRNA from 1 species
CAGAGCGUAGCUAAAACAGUUAUAGCAUCUCCCUUACACUGAGAAGUCACCCGUGCAACUCGGGUCGCCCUGA